rnacentral:rRNA from 1 species
AGAGUUUGAUCCUGGCUCAGAUUGAACGCUGGCGGCGUGCUUAACACAUGCAAGUCGAUCGGUAACGCGGGGGCAACCCUGGCGACGAGAGGCGGACGGGUGAGGAACGCUUGGGAAUCUGCCCUUCAGCGGGCGACAACCCGGGGAAACUCGGGCUAAUACCGCAUACGCUCCACGGAGGAAAGCCGGGGACCGCAAGGCCUGGCACUGAAGGAUGAGCCCAAGUCGGAUUAGCUAGUUGGCGGGGUAACGGCCCACCAAGGCGACGAUCCGUAGCUGGUCUGAGAGGACGAUCAGCCACACUGGGACUGAGACACGGCCCAGACUCCUACGGGAGGCAGCAGUGGGGAAUAUUGGACAAUGGGGGAAACCCUGAUCCAGCGACGCCGCGUGGGUGAAGAAGGCCUGCGGGUUGUAAAGCCCUUUCGGUAGGGACGAAAGCUCUCGACCUAACACGUCGGGAGGUUGACUUAACCUACAAAAGAAGCACCGGCUAACUCUGUGCCAGCAGCCGCGGUAAUACAGAGGGUGCGAGCGUUAAUCGGAAUUACUGGGCGUAAAGCGCACGUAGGCGGCUUGGUAUGUCGGGUGUGAAAUCCCCGGGCUCAACCUGGGAACUGCAUCCGAAACUGCCUUGCUCGAGUAUGGGAGAGGGAACCGGAAUUUCCGGUGUAGCGGUGAAAUGCGUAGAUA